CACCACACUCCUCCACCACACUCCGUCACCAAUUACUACAAACAGUUUAAUUAAGGCCUCAAGCAGUACCCUUUAGUCUACUUUUGUCAUGCCAUGAGUGAUCAUGUGAUCUUCAAGUUUCCUUGGAACGUCAAAUUCAAUGUCACAGACAAAACAAAUAUAUCCAAUACCAGUUGGUGCUGUUGACUCCAAUUCCUGGCAUAAACCACAUUGAAAGUUUGUAUUAUUGCCAUGUUGCCUUGCUAUAUGUUGCACUAAUUUUGUAAAAUUGGAAAAAUGCAUGUUGCAUUUCAUACAAACAUGUUGUCCAGUGACGUCAUCCUUUAAAACAUGUUCUUGUAUAUCUUGUGGCUGAGUAAUUCCUCUAUGACAAGUGUUACACAAUAAAUGUGAUUUCUUGUGCAAUUGUAAACUAUGUCCUCGAGAAAAUUUCUUAUUGCAAACAUCACAUUUAUGAGGUUUGUCACCAGUGUGUGUUCUUUUAUGUCUAAUCAAAGCAUUUGACCGAGAAAAUCCCCUCUUACAAACAUCACAUUCAUAAGGUUUCUCUCCAGUGUGUGUUCUUUUAUGUCUUAUCAAAUCAUCUGACCGAGAAAAUCCCCUCUUACAAGCGUCACAUUCAUAAGGUUUCUCUCUAGUGUGUGUUCUUUUGUGUCUUAUCAAAUCAUCUGACCGAGAAAAUCCCCUCUUACAAACGUCACAUUCAUGAGGUUUCUCACAUUGAUAAUGUUUCUCUCCAGUGUGUGUUCUUUUAUGUGUUAUCAAACCAUCUGACCGAGAAAAUCUCCUCUUACAAAGAUCACAUUCAUAAGGUUUCUGUCCAGUGUGUGUUCUUUCAUGUCUUAACAAUUCAUCUGACCGAGAAAAUCCCCUCUUACAAACAUCACAUUCAUAAGGUUUCUCUCUGGUGUGUGUUCUUUUAUGUCUUAUCAAAUUAUUUGACCGAGAAAAUCCCCUCUUACAAACAUCACAUUCAUAAUGAUUCACUCCAUGUGUCCUUUUAUGUGCUAUUAUCAAAUCGCUCGAGUGAGAAAUUAAAUCCGGCCUUGAUUUUGAAAAUCGUUUCUUGAAAACAUCACAUUCAUAAGGCUUGUGUGUUCUCUCUUCUUUUGCUACGUCCAAGCUGCUCGAUGUUGAAAACAUUUCCCACAAUGAUGCGACAUAUAAAUUUAACAAAUGACAACACGUGUUGACUAGUCAGUAUUGCAGGAACUAAAAAAUCCUAAAGACUAAACACGUUGAAAAGAAUUAAGAUUCACCACUCAGUGUUCACCAUCCAGCAGUAAUUUUCGAUAAAUUUGAAGCAUUUGCUUCGACGAAGGUUCAAAAGAUGAGCAAGUUUGGUUAAUUUCAAAUGCCCUUUCACGUUUCAAAUACAAUCGAUGCUUUGCUUCGGCAGUUU